GACUGUGAGGAGGAACACAACCAGAGGAACCAGGACUCAGUGUGGAGACCAGUGGGGAUUAUUUGAUGGUUCUUCGUGCAACAUCAGCUCGUUAAGCUUAAGCAGCAGUGGAGUUUACUGGUGUGAGUCCAGAGAGGGAGCAGCCAGCAGCAGCAUCCAGCUCACUGUCACUGACGGAUCUUCAACCUUAGCUCCGCCCACUUCUUCAUCUCCUCCUGCCUCAGAUUCCCUGCAGGUCAGGCUGGUCUGCCACCUGGUGGUCUUCUGUCCGUACAUCGUCUCCUCUCUCCUCCUGGUGUUUUCUUAAUGACACAGAGCCAAAGACUAGAGGAAGUGACCCGCCUGCCUCCUUGUCGAUAACUCCUCCCUCCCAGGAUGAUCAGGGAUUGGACGAUAAUUAUGUCGACAGUUA